CCGUGCUAGGUGGGGAGGUAGCGGUGCCCUGUACUUGCAAUCCGCUAUAGCAGGACUGAAUCCCUUCUCGAGGCUUUGUUUCCGUGGGGUCUGCCCCUUGUAAGUGGUGUUGACGUCUGGGUUCUGUGCAACGGAAACCCGCGAAUCCUGUCAGGUCCGGAAGGAAGCAGCAGUAAGCGGACUCUUCUGUGUGCCGCAGAGUCGCCUGGAUCGAGCUAACUGCUUGGGUAACGCUCAUGGAUUCAUUGCCGACAGAGGGUGCACGG
rnacentral:SRP_RNA from 1 species